AUUCCCUACGGAAAAGACAAGUCUAUUAUAAAAACAAUUAAAGGGAAACUGCCCAAAGAAAACUCACCAACAUUGUCUAACAACUCUCAACUUUUGAAUUAAAACACACAGAAGACUCAGAGUCCCACCUAUCAUCCAGAUGUACACGGCUCCCCGGCUGUUCUGAUCUGUAAAAUGAAACAUCCCCAAACUCUGGGAUUUAACUCGCAGACACUACAAAACUUGCACCCACCAUGCAUUUGCCUCGUGAAAUCCCCCAACCAAUGAAUGGGAAUGCUGCCGCCCCAGGGAGGGCUCCAGAGAAACAACUGCUUUCUCCCGCGCUGGAGCAGGGAGUAGGAAAAGCUGCUUUUAGCGACACAUUUGUCAUUGCCUAGAGAUACAGCAGCCACUGCCUGCUGACUGUGCUCCAAGAGGGACAUCACCACGCCACUUGCGAAAAUCCUGCCGGAGAUAAAGUAAAAAAAAAAACCCAAGAAAUCACAGCUCUCCGCUCAGUUCUGAAAACGCACCGCCCCAGGAAAUAACUCCUUUUCUUUGCCCUGAGCCCUGUCUCCACUUAUAAAACGCAGCCAGCGGCGAGGGACGCGCGGAACCGUAACUCCAUCUUUGAAUGACUCUGUGACUUACCCCGCGUGUGUCUGCUGUCUGCUGGCACACAGAACUUCCUAUGAACAUUUUGCUGAAUGUCAGUUUUUCUGAGAGGGGACUCUGGAAAACAGUAACUGAACUCUGCCAUCGACAUAAGCUCUGUUGAAAGAUGCCGGAAAGCAAAGACCACGUCUGCAAAGCACUGGAGCUGGAGCUGCCAUGUGUGCAGCAGGUCGGGGAGAAACCCACGCUCAGCUCUGCUUCCUGGCCACCGAAGACCAAGUCUGGAUUCCAGGUGGCAACUUUUAAGUGAAAAUUGCAACUUGUAUAUCCUGGACUGAGCUAAACCCUGACAUGUUCUACAGAGUUCCCAAAGGCCCAGGAUCGAAUCCAUGAGAAUGCGAGAACUUCCACAGACACAGCACCCUGCGUGCUUCCUCGCUGAACCCUUUCAAUUGAGCAUUUGCUGAGGCCUCACUGGAAAGGGGGUUCUCUGGCCUUUUCUGCCCCGACCCUUCCCCACAUGCCCUCCCUCAAAGCUACAGUGAGCUGUGCAGGGGGCACAAGAAUUAUGGGGAACAAGUUGCAGCGCCAUGAAAUCGGGACCAUGUGGUUCACCUCACCCGAAUACACUCCCCCAUUUUGCAGGUGAGCAAACUGAGGUCUAAAGAGUUAAUUCAAGUCAUGCUUCCAUCUCUGCCAUCUCCUGUCAGUCUUCACUCUGUUACACUUGCUGACUACUUAGGGCCUUUUAUCCUCUUUUCUCACAACUGCCUAGGGCAGGGGUGGGUAAACUUUUUGACUCGAGAGCCACAAUGGGUUCUUAAACUGGACCGGAGGGCCGGAACAAAAGCAUGGAUGGAGUGUU